rnacentral:tRNA from 1 species
CGGGUAUAGUUUAAUUGGUAAAAUAUUUGACUUCCACUCAAAGGCUGUCGGUUCAAUUCCGGCUACC